GUCAUGGGAUUCAGAACUUUCUGAAUCCUGUUGGUUCCCAGCUCAGGUUUACAUUGCAGUGGAACUGGAGUCGUUUCUCCUUUGAAUAAAUCUGUCCCCCUCUGUGUGUUUUCAGCUUCCCAUCAAUAGAGGUUCUAAUGUAACACAUUGGUGAGUGAAUGCUCUGAACACUCCAUAUCACAUCUCUGAACAUGCUAGUGAAAAUCGGAUGUUUGGCAAGUUGUAGGAGAAUAUGUAUUUGGUGGUGGAGAGGGUUGAUCACUUUCCUAUACUUUUGUCUGAAAGUUGUUCUCACAGUGAGAAAUUGCCAUUGUCUGAAUUUGGAGGAGAGAUCUUUUUUCACCCCGAGUUUGUAGAAUGAUUUAGACUGAUGGGACUUCCCAAGACCUGUCAGCUUUGUCAAACUACCAAGAGUGCUGCUUUGUGUUAAGAAAAAUACGAUUUUUUUAGUUUCUGCCGCAUAUUAAUCAGAAACCAUGUUUUAUUUCUCAGUUUAAGAGAUCAGCUUAUGUCCUACGGGUUUUGGGGGUUUGUUUGUUUGUUUUGUCCUUAGAAAACCCGAGGUUCUUUCGCGAGGGAUGAUGCUGAAGAGCAGUUCUCGAGUGGCAGCUCGAGAGCUUUACCGGAGCCGAGGGCUCCUCUCUUCCCACAAGAGGGAGCCCGGCGGUCACUGCAGGAUCAGCUCCGCGCCGGCUCGGGAGCGCUUCGCGAUCUCUCGCCGGCCAGCAGAGGGGAUGUGCCGGGCAGGCCGGCCCGAGUUUAGCCCCUCAGCGCAGAUUCUCAGUUUCGAAUCACAGGUCAGCUAAUGCCUGUUAUAUGUUAAAAGCUGAGGAAACGAGUGCAGGAAAAGCAGUUAAAGCCAGGAAACAAAAACCAAGAGGGAUGAACUAUGCAAAAUUGAAUACAUGAGUAGCCAUUUGUGAUAUAGCUGAAAAUACUGCAAAAUAUUUUGAUUAGCAUAUAAAAAAGCAUGGAGAGGAAAACUGUUUAAUGGAUUUUGAAACAGUACAUAUCUUGAAGGUAAGAGAGCUACUCCUGUGGAGUUGUGAUUUUCAUUCCUAUGGGAUUUUAUUAGUUCUUAUCAGGGCUAUAGCCCACUCUCUUUUCUAGCAAAAUGUACCAGAAAAUAUAUGCUUCACCACAAACAUGAAAGGAACAGUUUUAUGGGAGAUAUGAGGGUUGCAUAUCACCUUUUACAGGCAAGAUGGAACUCUGGUUGUAUUUUUUACCCUUUUUUCAGAGGCUGAAUUAGUGCACAAAAAGGACAUAUCCCUUAAGCAAGGUUAAGAAGGAAGUGUGAUGGUGUGAUUUCAGAAGGAAAACAAUACCCAGCAGCCAGAAUUCUGUUUAAAUCAUUUGCUAUCCUUCACCCAGAGGUGAAAUGUAGGACUGAGUAUACAGGAUAAAAGUGAGACUAACGCUCAAAGAAAGCAGCCUUCAUUGUCAGUAUCAGUUAUUUUGGAGUACCAGUUGCCCAUCUCAGAAAUCCAGCCUGUUAUAUAUUGGUGAUUUUGGAGUACCAGUUGCCCAUCUCAGAAAUCCAGCCUGUUAUGUAUUGGUAUUUGGAGUACCAGUUGCCCAUCUCAGAAAUCCAGCCUGUUAUAUAUUGGUGAGGAAGGUAGGACUGAGGGAAUGAGAAGCCUGCUGCUACCCAGCACUUACAUGAGUGGAGGAAAACGUGACCUUUGAAGGUGAGCUGCAUCUGUGCCUGGGGGCAGAGCCUUGCUGUGAACACAAGAGAGAGCAGAGAGACGUGCUGGAUUUGUACAUAAUAGAUGAAGGCAUGGCUGUAUGGACGGGAAGGGAUACCUCCCUAUGCACACAGGGCUGUGUGCACGCUCUUAACCGGGCUCAGCUCUGGUCACGUCUGCACGGUGUGAUGAUGCCAAGGCCUGUGGCUGUAAGGGCGAGCGGGCGGGACCGCUCCCGACUUUGCCUUUGUCUGGCAGGCAGCCGGGGGAAGGCGCUGGGUCCCCCGGCCCGGCCGGCCCGGCUGCCCCUUUAAGAGGCCCCAG
ensembl:lncRNA